rnacentral:rRNA from 1 species
GAUCUGCCUCUAGGACUGGGACAACAGAAGGAAACUUCUGCUAAUCCCGGAUGAGCCGCAAGGUGAAAGAUUUAUCGCCUAGAGAUGAGCUCGCGUCUGAUUAGCUAGUUGGUAAGGUAAAAGCUUACCAAGGCAACGAUCAGUAGCUGGUCUGAGAGGAUGAUCAGCCACACUGGGACUGAGACACGGCCCAGACUCCUACGGGAGGCAGCAGUGGGGAAUUUUCCGCAAUGGGCGCAAGCCUGACGGAGCAAGACCGCGUGGGGGAGGAAGGCUCUUGGGUUGUAAACCCCUUUUCUCAGGGAAGAACCAAAUGACGGUACCUGAGGAAUCAGCCUCGGCUAACUCCGUGCCAGCAGCCGCGGUAAUACGGAGGAGGCAAGCGUUAUCCGGAAUGAUUGGGCGUAAAGCGUUCGUAGGUGGCUAUUCAAGUCUGCUGUCAAAGACAGAAGCUCAACUUCUGAAAGGCAGUGGAAACUGAGUAGCUGGAGUGCGGUAGGGGCAGAGGGAAUUCCCGGUGUAGCGGUGAAAUGCGUAGAGAUCGGGAAGAACACCGGUGGCGAAAGCGCUCUGCUGGGCCGCAACUGACCACUGAGGGACGAAAGCUA